rnacentral:rRNA from 1 species
AUUGAACGCUGGCGGCAGGCCUAACACAUGCAAGUCGAGCGGAUGAAGGGAGCUCGCUCCUGGAUUCAGCGGCGGACGGGUGAGUAAUGCCUAGGAAUCUGCCUGGUAGUGGGGGAUAACGUCCGGAAACGGGCGCCAAUACCGCAUACGUCCUGAGGGAGAAAGUGGGGGAUCUUCGGACCUCACGCUAUCAGAUGAGCCUAGGUCGGAUUAGCUAGUUGGUGGGGUAAAGGCCUACCAAGGCGACGAUCCGUAACUGGUCUGAGAGGAUGAUCAGUCACACUGGAACUGAGACACGGUCCAGACUCCUACGGGAGGCAGCAGUGGGGAAUAUUGGACAAUGGGCGAAAGCCUGAUCCAGCCAUGCCGCGUGUGUGAAGAAGGUCUUCGGAUUGUAAAGCACUUUAAGUUGGGAGGAAGGGCAGUAAGUUAAUACCUUGCUGUUUUGACGUUACCAACAGAAUAAGCACCGGCUAACUUCGUG